UUAAUCCAUUUCUCUCUCAAAUGGCUCUCUCACUUCUCACUAUCUGGUAAAGAGGGUUUUGAUAGUAUUGGGUUCUUCGAUAUGUUAUCUCAGUGGGUUUGCUAAUUUUUCCGUAAUCAAGAAUUCUUGUUCGCUUUUGGUUUCGAUUGGUGUUUGUUUGGGUCUGUUUCAACCGACGAACAUCGAAAGCUUGCAUUUAAUCUCUGUUACAAGGAAGAUUGUUGUCUAAAAUUCCAAUUAGGUAAGUAAUUCUUUACUGAAAAUGGUUUAUUUCUAGUGUAUUUUACCUGCUUUUAAUAUUGUUUAUACAUAUUAGGGUUUUGAUUGUAGAAACAAUGACUUAAGGCUUUUGAAAUUGAAGUUACUUAGAAUGAAAUUCUACAUCUCAUGCAUGCAUGGCUACUAGUUUUUUAUCGUAACAACCUUAAAAAAUAGGGCUUUGUCUGUAAAUACUUUAUAGGUGUUUCAAAUUGCUGGCUUGUGCCUUUUUACUAAUUAAAAAUUGAGGCUUCUUUGUUAAAUACUUUAUUUGUGUUUUUAAUUAUUGGAUUGUGCUUUUUUAUUGUUAAAAGGUUGUGCUUUUCUUUUAAAUACUUUAACUUUGUUUCAUAUUGUCGUGUUGUAUUCUUUUUAAGUUGGGGCUUUUCUGUAAAAUUUUCUGGUGUUAUUGUUUGUGGAUGUAGGGUAAUUUAUGGCUUUAAAAUAUUUUAACUUAUGGUGAGUGAGGUGGGGCAUGUCUAUAUUGGGGGUGGGACAGAAUAUAUUUUCAAUGUUGAUGAGGAUCAUUUGUCAAUUCCUGAACUGGCAGAUUAAGCUAGGAGUUUUGGAAUUACUAAGUUAAAAAAAGACCUUUGUGGUUCCAUAAAGGGGGAU
rnacentral:lncRNA from 1 species